UACGUAGGGGGCAAGCGUUGUCCGGAAUUAUUGGGCGUAAAGAGCGUGUAGGCGGUCCGGUAAGUCAGCUGUGAAAGUCAAGGGCUCAACCCUUGAAUGCCGGUUGAUACUGUCGGGCUAGAGUCCGGAAGAGGCGAGUGGAAUUCCCGGUGUAGCGGUGAAAUGCGCAGAUAUCUGGAGGAACACCGGUGGCGAAGGCGGCAUCCUGGACCAAUACUGACGCUGAGGAGCGAAAGCCAGGGGAGCAAACGGG
rnacentral:rRNA from 1 species